rnacentral:tRNA from 1 species
UCCCUGGUGGCUCAGGUGGUAAAGAAUCUGCUUGCCAAGCAGGAGACCCAGGUUUGAUCCCUGGGUUGGGAA